rnacentral:misc_RNA from 1 species
CAACCCUCGGGCCCCCCUCUGCGGGCGGCCCGGCGUUGGGGCUCAGGCGCCGUCUCUGCUCGGCGCCUGUCCCCUAAAUGCAGUGGCGGCCUCGCCGCUGCCUCCUCCGCGUAGUAGCACAAACCUCGCGGCGGGAAGGCGGCGCGGCCACGCCGUAAAACCCCCCAACUUUACCAA